GUGACACAGAGGGAGGUGACAGAGGGAGUUUAAAAGGAUCGGUCAGUUUAUGGCAAAUAACUCUGUUAGUUGAAGUUCUCAGUGACACAGAUUCCGGACUCACAGCGGGAAUAAUGAUGUUCUGCAGAGUGGCUUGGCAAAGACUUGCACCUCUGGCACGCAAAACACUCACUCCGUUCAGCAAUGCUGUGUUCCCUACGCGACAGAUGUCCUUUGGUCUACCUGCGUCCGGCACAAACAUAGCUUAAAUGGUACUUGGUGGAAGCUCGCUUACUGCUGCUCUUGUUUAUGUAUGUAAUUUUUAUUUCUUCAUCCUGUUUUAGAAUACGUUGUUAAUAUUAUAAUUUAACAAAAACAUCCAUUUAUCCUCAUCUAAACUCUUUUUCCUCCUUACAGGCCUAUAAGACAAUAAACUCUGACAGUGCAAGAUAUAAUGAAAGAAUUGCUCAACUCGAGGCCAG
rnacentral:lncRNA from 1 species